GAUGAACGCUGGCGGCGUGCCUAAUACAUGCAAGUCGAGCGAACAGACGAGGAGCUUACUCCUCUGACGUUAGCGGCGGACGGGUGAGUAACACGUGGAUAACCUACCUAUAAGACUGGGAUAACUUCGGGAAACCGGAGCUAAUACCGGAUAAAAUGUUGAACCGCAUGGUUCAACAGUGAAAGACGGUCUUGCUGUCACUUAUAGAUGGAUCCGCGUCGCAUUAGCUAGUUGGUAAGGUAACGGCUUACCAAGGCAACGAUGCGUAGCCGACCUGAGAGGGUGAUCGGCCAAACUGGAACUGAGACACGGUCCAGACUCCUACGGGAGGCAGCAGUAGGGAAUCUUCCGCAAUGGGCGAAAGCCUGACGGAGCAACGCCGCGUGAGUGAAGAAGGUCUUCGGAUCGUAAAACUCUGUUAUUAGGGAAGAACAAAUGUGUAAGUAACUAUGCACGUCUUGACGGUACCUAAUCAGAAAGCCACGGCUAACUACGUG
rnacentral:rRNA from 1 species